UGAGUGUCGUUAUGUGCGUCGAAGCAAGCACCAUACGUUCAGAGGACAGCAGUUUAAUAAACUCACACGAGGAUCCAGAGAACAAAAUCUAUCACUUGGUUGCGUUACAUCCGGGGAGCGAGAGGGAGCUUUUCCGUCCAAGCUACGGUAGCCGUGCGGGACAUUCUUUUAGCACAAUACACAAUCAUGCAAUUAUCUACAUCCUCUCCUUUUAGAACAUUGCCUCUAUAAAAAAUAUUGUCAACUAAAAAACUGUAAUAUACAAAUGUGACAUGACAGUCUAACAAUAAACAAUUCUGCGUAAAACUGGCAGCAUAAAAUUUACUGAAUUAACAAAUUAUUCCUCUUGGAAAUGCACGAAGGUACACUUGAUAAUGAUAACAAGUAUGUAAACAACCUUAGAGCUUAACUUUUUUUUUUUUUCAAAAUGCAACUAACAAACAUGCAGUUCAAUCCAUAUACUUCGGAUUCGGCUUAGAUAUCCGACCUGAGCAAGUCACAUAAGCAGAGCAAUUGUGUGACACUCGGGUGGGCACGUCAGCUGGAGAUGUUGUUGAUUGCUCAUUGGUGGAGUAGUGAGCAGAUGGCUGAGAGAAGUGAGACGGUCGGGCAUGUGGACUGGAUAGAAGAGGGUCUGGCGUACUCUGAACCGGUGGUUGAGAGUGAUGGUCAGAGUCGGCGUGCAAAGGUGGGGUUGGUUCAGCAACAGGAAGGAUGUGACGGCGAUUCCUCCUGUAGAUACCUCCGUUGGAUUCAACGAUGUAGGAGCGCGGCUCUUUGCAAGCCUGAACCACUUUCCCGAGGCGCUGUUUGGCACUGCGGACGGCACGCUCGGCUAAUCCAUUUGACUGCGGGUAUCCGGGACUGCUGGUAACGUGAGUAAUGUCCCACUGUUUGGAAAAGUCGCGGAAUCGUUGGCUUGUGUACUGUUUGCCAUUAUCAGAAAUCAGUGUAUGGGGUGCUCCAUGAACAGAAAAAUGUCUCUUUAGCUUUUUUAUCACCGUAGCUGAAGACAAAUCACGAAGCAGAUCAAUUUCGAACCAUCCCGAGUAGGAGUCUACAAGGACUGAAUACUGUUGACCAUGCCAUUCAAAAAUGUCUGUUGCGACCGUAGACCAUGGCAGGGUAGGGACAGGAUGAGCUUUUAGCGGUUCCUUUUGCUGGUGUGGUCGUGUGCUAUUGCAUACAGCACAAGACAGUCGUACUUUUGUGAUGUCCGUGUUCAUGUUGGGCCAAACCACUGUACUUCUGGCUCUACAUUUAGUUGAUUCAAGGCCUGGGUGACCUCUAUGCAUAAUCUGGAUGUACUCUUGUUGCAGUGAGAUAUGUAUGACAGGUCUGUGUCCUUUAACAACAAUACCUUCUUCCACUACCAACUCGUCUCUGUAUGGAAAGUAUGGGCGGACAGAGAGCGGUGCCUGACGUUCUUUGUUAGGCCAUCCAUUCUGGAUCACAUUGCUAAGAGUUUGAAGCACUUGGUCACUGGCAGUGUGUGUUCUCAGCUCUUCAAGCCUGGCUGUCGAGAUAAAACUGACUGACAUGACUUCAAACGAGCUGUGAGCACUGGAUAAUUCAGAAACUUUACUGUUUGGGGCUCUUGACAGGGUGUCGGAAAGGUACAUUUGCUUGCCCUUUUUAUAAACCAAGGUGAUGUCAAAAGCUUGUAGGCGAAGUAGCAUCCUCUGCAGACGAGCUGGAGCUGUGAGGAUCGGCUUCUUCAGUAUAGUGACCAGAGGUUGGUGGUCUGUUUCAAUGACAGUGUGCUUGCCAUAGAUGUAGUCCUUAAACUUAGUGCAUGCAAAAACAACAGCAAGGAGUUCUUUUUCAAUUUGCGCAUAACGGGUUUCUGUAUCUGACAAUGUGCGAGAUGCAUACGCAAUUGGCUUUCCAUCUUGUAAACAUGCUGCACCCAACCCAUAACGAGAUGCAUCACAUGUUAGCAUCACAGGUUUCCCUACAUCAAAAUAAGAAAGGACAGGUGGGCUGGAUAGACAUGACUUCAAUUUCUCAAAUGCUUGUUGGUGUUGGGGGAGCCAGCACCAUGCAGCGUCUUUGUGAGUGAGCUGCCUGAGUGGUGCUGCAAUGUCGCUGAGAUUCGGGAUAAACUUCCCCAGGUAGUUCACCAUGCCCAGGAAUCG